rnacentral:rRNA from 1 species
AGAGUUUGAUCAUGGCUCAGAUUGAACGCUGGCGGCAGGCCUAACACAUGCAAGUCGAACGGUAACAGGAAGCAGCUUGCUGCUUUGCUGACGAGUGGCGGACGGGUGAGUAAUGUCUGGGAAACUGCCUGAUGGAGGGGGAUAACUACUGGAAACGGUAGCUAAUACCGCAUAACGUCGCAAGACCAAAGAGGGGGACCUUCGGGCCUCUUGCCAUCGGAUGUGCCCAGAUGGGAUUAGCUUGUUGGUGGGGUAACGGCUCACCAAGGCGACGAUCCCUAGCUGGUCUGAGAGGAUGACCAGCCACACUGGAACUGAGACACGGUCCAGACUCCUACGGGAGGCAGCAGUGGGGAAUAUUGCACAAUGGGCGCAAGCCUGAUGCAGCCAUGCCGCGUGUAUGAAGAAGGCCUUCGGGUUGUAAAGUACUUUCAGCGGGGAGGAAGGGAGUAAAGUUAAUACCUUUGCUCAUUGACGUUACCCGCAGAAGAAGCACCGGCUAACUCCGUGCCAGCAGCCGCGGUAAUACGGAGGGUGCAAGCGUUAAUCGGAAUUACUGGGCGUAAAGCGCACGCAGGCGGUUUGUUAAGUCAGAUGUGAAAUCCCCGGGCUCAACCUGGGAACUGCAUCUGAUACUGGCAAGCUUGAGUCUCGUAGAGGGGGGUAGAAUUCCAGGUGUAGCGGUGAAAUGCGUAGAGAUCUGGAGGAAUACCGGUGGCGAAGGCGGCCCCCUGGACGAAGACUGACGCUCAGGUGCGAAAGCGUGGGGAGCAAACAGGAUUAGAUACCCUGGUAGUCCACGCCGUAAACGAUGUCGACUUGGAGGUUGUGCCCUUGAGGCGUGGCUUCCGGAGCUAACGCGUUAAGUCGACCGCCUGGGGAGUACGGCCGCAAGGUUAAAACUCAAAUGAAUUGACGGGGGCCCGCACAAGCGGUGGAGCAUGUGGUUUAAUUCGAUGCAACGCGAAGAACCUUACCUGGUCUUGACAUCCACAGAACUUUCCAGAGAUGGAUUGGUGCCUUCGGGAACCGUGAGACAGGUGCUGCAUGGCUGUCGUCAGCUCGUGUUGUGAAAUGUUGGGUUAAGUCCCGCAACGAGCGCAACCCUUAUCCUUUGUUGCCAGCGGUCCGGCCGGGAACUCAAAGGAGACUGCCAGUGAUAAACUGGAGGAAGGUGGGGAUGACGUCAAGUCAUCAUGGCCCUUACGACCAGGGCUACACACGUGCUACAAUGGCGCAUACAAAGAGAAGCGACCUCGCGAGAGCAAGCGGACCUCAUAAAGUGCGUCGUAGUCCGGAUUGGAGUCUGCAACUCGACUCCAUGAAGUCGGAAUCGCUAGUAAUCGUGGAUCAGAAUGCCACGGUGAAUACGUUCCCGGGCCUUGUACACACCGCCCGUCACACCAUGGGAGUGGGUUGCAAAAGAAGUAGGUAGCUUAACCUUCGGGAGGGCGCUUACCACUUUGUGAUUCAUGACUGGGGUGAAGUCGUAACAAGGUAACCGUAGGGGAACCUGCGGUUGGAUCACCU